UACGUAGAGCGCAAGCGUUAUCCGGAAUUAUUGGGCGUAAAGCGCUCGUAGGCGGUUUGUCGCGUCUGCCGUGAAAGUCCGGGGCUCAACUCCGGAUCUGCGGUGGGUACGGGCAGACUAGAGUGAUGUAGGGGAGACUGGAAUUCCUGGUGUAGCGGUGAAAUGCGCAGAUAUCAGGAGGAACACCGAUGGCGAAGGCAGGUCUCUGGGCAUUAACUGACGCUGAGGAGCGAAAGCAUGGGGAGCGAACAGG
rnacentral:rRNA from 1 species